rnacentral:rRNA from 1 species
GAUGAACGCUGGCGGCGUGCCUAAUACAUGCAAGUCGAGCGAACGGACGAGAAGCUUGCUUUUCUGAUGUUAGCGGCGGACGGGUGAGUAACACGUGGAUAACCUACCUAUAAGACAGGGAUAACUUCGGGAAACCGGAGCUAAUACCGGAUAAUAUUUUGAACCGCAUGGUUCAAAAGUGAAAGACGGUCUUGCUGUCACUGAUAGAUGGAUCCGCGCUGCAUUAGCUAGUUGGUAAGGUAACGGCUUACCAAGGCAACGAUGCAUAGCCGACCUGAGAGGGUGAUCGGCCACACUGGAACUGAGACACGGUCCAGACUCCUACGGGAGGCAGCAGUAGGGAAUCUUCCGCAAUGGGCGAAAGCCUGACGGAGCAACGCCGCGUGAGUGAUGAAGGUCUUCGGAUCGUAAAACUCUGUUAUUAGGGAAGAACAUAUGUGUAAGUAACUGUGCACAUCUUGACGGUACCUAAUCAGAAAGCCACGGCUAACUACGUG